CUACCACUAGCUAAUCUUACUACUAAUUAUACAUGUCUAAAAUAGCAGUCCAAGUGUCCAGAUAUUACAAAGUAAAUCAGUCUCAAUGUCCAGUUAUUACAAAAAAUGAACCAAUCCAAAUGUCUAAUUACUAUAAGGUAAUUAUCUGAUCAUUAGGUAUAUUAAAACUAAAGAAUGGGAAAACAAGGUGAGGGUUCUAAAUGAAACUAAUAGAUGCAUAUCUUUAGAUUAAGGAAUACAUUCUACUUGAGCUUCACACAUCAAAGGAUGACAAGAUGUACCUGAAAUUCAGCAGAGAACAAAAGCCUAUGAGUAAACGAGAUUAAUCAGCAUGCAAACAGCAACCUACCAAACAGUACACCCAGAAUUUCAACAAGCUUUUUAGAGAAUCAAAAUUCGAAAGGAAUGAGAACAACACUGAUAAUUUUUCAGGGAUAUAGGGGAAACUAGUGUGUAUAUCUUAAUGCACUCAGACUUCAAAAGAAAAUUAGGCUCGAAAAUGUAUUCCAAAAGGUCAAAAAUCUCUUUAAUGUUAAAAAAAGGAUCCCCUCAAAAAUGUUCAGAUGGUUUCUUUUUAUAGUGGAGCCUUUUUGUUUUUCCUUUUAGUCCCUGAUUGAGAUUUCAGUUUUUGCCUAAAUGGUCCUUCAUUUCCUGACUUGUGCCUCAAGUUUCAGGCAGAAGUUGUGCCUAAGUACCUCGCAAGAAUGUUCUAGAGGUUAUUACUAGAUUAUUUUAAGGUUCAAAUUCCCCUUCUAACCAUGUUUCUUUCCUAAUUAACUAACCUGAAUUUUAACCUUAGAUAUUCACCGACCCUGAUUAAUUUUGUGUGAGUUAUGGGCUAAAAUCUGGUCUGGAUUUAAAGGUCCAUUGGAUCCAUACAACAAAAUGUCCUAAUAUGGAUUGGUCAAUCAAAUAUUAUACUUUUAGGAUCAUAUAAAUGUUUAGGUAUCCUUAUGUCAAAACAAAUGGAUCAAAUCGAUCAGGAGAGGGCAUUAAUCAACUAGGGCCAGACUUAUAGAAAUGAUCCAAUCAGUAAAACUCAAUAUAGCUUAAAAGCAUGAAAGGAGAUGAGAACAUGACUAAUAUCAAUAAUUCACACAAACUCAAUCUCAACAAAUGCAAAUUAAGCAAAGAGUCCUAACCAGUAUUUUCAGAAAGGUAUGAAGCAGGCCAAAAUGAUUAUUUUCAAGACUUUCAGAGAUUAUCAAUCAAACCCAAAGAAUGUACUCAAGAUCAUGCUACUUAAAAAAACAAUAGAACUAGUGGUGACUAGCAGAAUGACAAACAAGAAUGAAUAUUCUGAGAAUAUUCACACGACAUAAGUAGGAUCCAAAAGGUAUUUCCUAAAACUAAUCAUAAUCUCAUGGGGAUAAACAUGAAAAUCAAGAGAUUCAAACCAUAGAAAUCACAUUACUAAAGAAUCAUCAAACAAGGAUUUCACAAUCAGGAGGCUAAUAUUAAAAUUAUAUCAUACCACUCAAGAGACGAAGGGAUUCACAACAAAAGGCAAAUAGCAAGUAGACAUGACUAUUUAACCUAUUUUAGACGAGAUUUGGAAAAAUAGCUAAUCAUUCAAACGAAACAAAGAAUCUAACAAUUAAAAGAAACAAAGCAAUUAUAUAGAGGCAAAGUUAGAACACUUAGCUUUUACACAUGCAAAUCCAACUUGAGAUCAUUCUGUCGGAUCCUGACCUCUUCUUUAGAGGAUUCUAUCCUUUUAAGGAAAUUGGCCUUGCAGAUAACAGGUUAAGGGGUUCAAGAAUGGAUUUUGCGAUUCUAAGACCAAGUGAGGUCACAUAUCUUGGAUUCCUUGGUGGUUAACAAUAUUUGAGGACUGUGGGUGGCAUGGUUGGGGAGGGGAAUGGCCAGGGACUGUCUGAGAUCAGUUUUGAUCGGAAUAUGAUGGGGUUUUAAUUUUAGGGUUAGCCUUCAAAUCAAUAUUCGAGACGUUUCAAAUAGAUUCGAAGGGUGUGACAUGCACGGUUGGAAAGAAGAGGGUUAGGUGUUUCAGGGAUGUAAUUUUUUAUGGGUUUGGAGUUGGGUCACAAGAGAUGGUAGUUCUGGUAGUUUUUCUUUUAAAGAUUUGAGAUGAUGGGGAGUUGUUUGAAGGGAAUGGGUUACAGGACAGGGAAGAGGAGGAUUUGAUGGUCCUACGGUGCAAACUUGGGGUGGUUUGGGACUGGGUCACCGGAGAUGGUGGUUCCAAUGACCCUUCUGUUGAAUAUUCAUGACGGAGGAGGGAUGUUUGACGGAAACUAAUUGCAGGACAAGGAAGAGGGGGUUUUUGUGGUCUGGUGGUUUAAUGUUGGGGUGGUUUGGUGACCGACCGCUGCGGUGAGGCGAUUUGCGGCGGCGGCGUUAGGGUGGCUACUGGGUGGUCGAUGGUGGUCAAAGGGUGGUCAGGGGGUGGUCAAGGGGAGGUCAAGGAGAGGGGGGUACACCAGAG
rnacentral:lncRNA from 1 species